CUCUAUAUAGAGACAGGUCUGGUGGACCUUUGUCCCUAUUUUAUCUGGGUGGGACUUAGGACACUUCUGAGACUGCUUCUCCCAGUUAUAAGAACAGUGUGUGGGAAGAGAAAGCCUUGGUCCCUGAUGAAGGCAUGCCAUCCUCUCUACAUUAGACAUGCUUCUAGAACUUUCCUUUGUGGACUCUGGGUUCUUCAUCCAAUAGCUUCUCAGAAGCUUUGACUUUUUUUUUUUUUUUUUUUUUUUUUUUUUACCUACCUCUGACUCCACUUAGUUAUCUGAUUUCCCAGCUGCAUUUCUAAAGAUAGAUGGACGAGAAGGAAACUUCUGGCAAGAGAUGUGAUCGGUUGUCUCCUUGAAGGUCUUUUCUGACCUGCUUACUGAGAAAUGGCAUUAGCAGAGCCUGCCUCAGGUAAGGACACACAGUUUAUAUGUUCCUUUUAAUUGACAAUGAAGAAAAUUUAUUGGAAAGAAAAAGAACUCUCCAGUGGAUAGAUUGGUGUGCGCAUUGGUACCUGAUGAUCAAUUUAUUUAAAAGGGAGACUCAGUAAGUGCAGUGGCCUCCCCUGGCAGAGCAGAGCAGAGCAGAGCACAGAAGGCAUGUGAUGUCGUGCCAACUGCGGGGAAAGACACUCUGUGAAAACAAUAUCCCACCAGCAAUGGGUAUCCCGUGGCAGCCAAAAUGUGGACAAACUCAAGCUCUCCGAAAGACAAACCAUUCAUGUUUCCCAUUGUUCCCACAGAUACUUGCUUCCCUCUGUUUAUUCCAGCUUUAAUAAACCAAUGAGUCACA